rnacentral:rRNA from 1 species
UACGUAGGGGGCAAGCGUUAUCCGGAAUUAUUGGGCGUAAAGAGUACGUAGGUGGCAACCUAAGCGCAGGGUUUAAGGCAAUGGCUCAACCAUUGUUCGCCCUGCGAACUGGGAUGCUUGAGUGCAGAAGAGGAGAGUGGAACUCCAUGUGUAGCGGUGAAAUGCGUAGAUAUAUGGAAGAACACCAGUGGCGAAAGCGGCUCUCUGGUCUGUAACUGACGCUGAGGUUCGAAAGCGUGGGUAGCAAACAGG